rnacentral:lncRNA from 10 species
AGGUGUACUCCAACAUGAAAACGGAGCAUGCAUGUGAGCUGAGUAGUGACAUGCAACAUGCAUGUCCAUUGAUCCUUGCUGCUCAUUCACAUACAGUGUUCGCGAUGCCCCCUGGACACAGAAUUCCAGUGGACCCACCACGUGUGGGGAUUCAGGGGAGACUCAAAGCAAAUACAAGGAAAAAAGGCCCUUGGAUAUUCUAUUGUCUGCACUGAUUGAGGCAACGAGAAAGCUAAUGGAAAUAGUGGAUCUUGAGAUGAACAAGACAUACCCCUAAUUCGUAAGACACCCGAGGUCUAGUGGAAAAACAAAUCCCUAAAGCAGUAGUAAAACCGCAGUCAUGAUAAAAUGGAAGAAGCAACAGGAUUGUACCCACCUAUAACGAGAAAGCUUAACUUACUGACAUAUUCUCAUUGCUGAAGACUCUGUCUGAAUGAGGAUUUCAAUCUCAAGUCUAGGAUGUGAUUUCAUCUGGUGAAGGGGAGAGGCAGACACGGAAGAAGCGCAUCUGUAGCUAAGAAAGAAAUACACUGACCCCAUUUCCAGUGGUUGAGCUUCUCUCCAAGUAGGUAGAUGCUGGCGAUGAAGACGUAGCUGAGAGAGAAGAAAGCUGCUAGACCCAAGAGGCUGAGUUUGGCAAACACAGGAUACACCCAGGUACCCGUCUCAAAGUAGAGCCAUAGGAUGCUGCAGGAAAUAAGAAGUCGUGGUGGUUAUAGCAGGAGGAGAAAAACAAGCCAUUUUCUCAUCAGGAUUAAUGAGGUACUGGUACCCAGGCAGGGGAAGAGAACCCAUCAGGGACGUUUGUCAACAGCUGUAGUAUUCCCACAAACCUAAAGAAGUGAGGCUUUUCUGGGUAAAUCAACUUGAUUCAAUAAGACAUGCUGUUUGAUGGGCUGGGCUGGGCUGUUUUACCUAAUCCACUUAAAUUCAACAUUGGUGAAAAAAUAUAAGAGAACAUAGGGCCAGGCACUGUGGCUCAUGCCUGUAAUCCCAGCACUUUGGGAGGCUGAGGGGGGUGGAUCACCUGAGGUCAGGAGUUCGAGAGCAGCCUGGCCAACAUGAUGAAACCCCAUCUCCACUAAAAAUACAAAAAAUUAACUGGGCAUGGUGGCUCAGGCCUGUAAUCCCAGCUACUAGGGAGGCGGAGGAAGAAGAAUCGCUUGAACCUGGGAGGCAGAGGUUGCAGUGAUCCAAGAUCACGCCACUGCACUCUAGCCUGGGCAACAAGAGUGAAACUUUGUCUCAAAAACAAACAAACAAACAAACAAACAAACAUAGAACCAUCGUUAGCUAAAGAACUAAAGAGAGUAUGUGGGAACAUGAAUGAUCCCUUUCCCUGAGAGGUAUGGCCUGCUGAGACAUUGAACCUGCUAUUAUGGCAUUGAUUUUGCUGGCUCUAAGCCAGAGAAGUGGGGUUUGCUUUUUUGGAUCUAAGAAUCAGGUGCAGCUUUCCCUUAGCUCUCCAAGUCUGCGGGGAUGAGGGAGCAGAGAUAGAGCGUUAUUGCCCUAACACAAUAUGCCUAGGAUUUAACUGUCGGCCCUGAUUUUCACUCAUGCAUAUAGCCAUAAAUAGAGUGUUAGGCAGUAAUGCAUGGAUUUGCAGGGAGGCUCAGAUCUUGCUUAUGUGAGGAUAGGCUGUAAGUCAUUUCUGGAAGCCGAGAGAAGGAAAAGAAAUGCUAGGAGAAGAGCCAUGAUGUCUAAGUGAAGCCUAAAAAUGCAGUUUGCUGGAAACCAACUGCACUGGAAGGUGCCAAAGUCUGAAAUAACUUUAAAAAAUUAAAUGUGGGGAAGCUGAUGCAUCAGCUACAGUUCAUCAUUGGUUAGGAGCACAGAAUCUGGAACUGGGCUUCUGUGAUUCAAACCCCAGCUCUGCCACCUAGUAGCUAUGUUACCUCCAGCAAUUUCAUCAACCUUUCUGUCCCCAUCUCCUCAAUGUGUAAAGUGAAGAUCCAAACAGCAUACACCUUCUAAGGCUGUUGUAAAGAUUACGGGAGUUAACACAUGUAAAAGACACAGAACAGUGCUUGGCACAUUGUAAUAUUUGACAAGAGUUCAAAAGCUUCCAUCUCCACUGAGGGAUGGCACAAUGGGAGUGCUCUCAGAAAGCCUUCUUUGAAGCUGCUGAUCUCUUGUAGCAAUUAGGAUAGGCCAGGUUAUGCUUCAAAAACAAUAUUUAAAUUUGAAUAUCCCACGUUGUCAAAGGAAUUCAGAUGGAAGAAUGAAAUUCUGUGCUUAAACUUUCAGAAACCCAAGGGUGAUCUCUGUCAUUUCAAAUACUUGAAGUUUGUUAAAUGGUUUGUGGAAGAGUCAAGGGCUAUAUUCAGGACCGGGAGUAGGGUGAAGCAAGAGAGGCCCUAGGGUGUAAAACUUAAGGGAUCAUCUCUGCAACAAAGGACACAAUAAACAGUGUGAAAAGGCAAUCCAUGGAAUGGGAAACAAUAUUUCUAAUCAUAUCUCUAAUAAGGGGUUAAUAUCCAAAAUAUGUAAAAUAUUCCUGUAACUCAACAAUAACAAAAAACCCAAAUAACUCAAUUAAAAAUGGACAAAGGACUUGAAUAGACCUUUUACAGAGAAGAUACAUAAAAGGCCAACAAAUGCAUGAAAGGAUGUUCAACAUCACUAAUAACUAGAAGAAAUGCAAAUCAAAAUGACAGUGAGAUAUUGUCUUACACUCAUUAGGAUGGAUACUAUAUUUUUUUUAAAAAGACAAGAUAACAAGUGUUAGUAAGGACAUAGAGAAAUUGGAACCCUUGUUCAUUGUUGGUAGGAAUGGAAGAUGGUACAUCUGCCUUGGAAAACUAUAUGGUGGUUCUCCCCAAAAUUAAAAUAGAAUUACCAUCUGAUCCAGCAAUUCCACUUCUGGGUACACACCCAAAAGAACUGAAAACAUGGCUAACAUGGUGAAACCCCAUCUCUACUAAAUAUACAAAAAAUUAGCCAGGCGUGGUGGCAGGUGCCUGUAGUCCCAGCUACUUGGGAGGCUGAGGGCAGGAGAAUGGCAUGAACCUGGGAGGCAGAGCUUGCAGUGAUUGGAGAUCGCGCCACUGCACUCCAGCCUGGGCGAGAGAAUGAGACUCUAUCUCAAAAAAAAAAAAAAAAGGAAUUGAAAACAGGGAUCUGAAGAGAUAUUUGUACACCCAUGUUUAUAGCAGCAUUAUUCACAAUAGCCUGAAGGUGGAAUCUCCCCAAGUGCCCACUGAUAGAUGAAUGGAUAAAUAAAAUGUGGCUUAUACAUAGGCAUUAAGAAGGAAGAACAUUCUGACACAUGCUACCACACAGAUCAACUUUGAAGACAUGGUAAGUGAAAUAAACCAGUCGUAAAAGGACAAAUACUGUAUAAUUCCAUUUAUAUGAGAAACCUAGAAUGUCAGAUUCAUAGAGGGAGAAAGUAGAAUGGUGCUUGCCAUGUGGUUGCGGGAGGAGGCAGCGGGGAAUGCUAUCUAUGGUUUCAAUAUGGUUUGUUUGUUCGUACCAAAACUCAUGUUGAAAUUUGGUCCUGCGUGUGUUGGUGUUGGGAGGGGGAGCCUAGUGGGAGGUGUUCGGGUCAUGGGGUUGGAUCUCCUAAGAAUGGUUUGAUGCUGUUCUUGUGAUAGUAAGCUCUAGAAAUGGAUUUUUUCUAUGAGAAUGGGUUGUUAUAAAUCUAGGGUGCCCCUCAGGUUUUGCCCUUUUCACACGUGUCCAUUUCCCCUUUGAUCUUCUCCACCACAUUGUGAGGCAGCAGUAAGGCCCUUGUCGGCAGCCAGGGCCAUGCCCUUGAACUUCUCAGCCUGCAGAAUAUGAACUAAAUAAACCUCUUUUCAAUCUCUGAUAUCCUUUUAUAGCAACACAAAAUGGACUGAGCCAGGGAGUUAUUGUUUAACGGGUAGACUUUCAGUUUGGGAAGAUGUAAAAGUUCUGGAGAUGGAUGGUGGUGAUGGAUGCACAACAAGGUAAAUGUACAAAAUGCUACAGAGCUUAAAAAUGAUCAAAAUGGUAAAUCACUUAAAAUCGUUAAAGUUGUAAAUAUUGUGUACCUUUUACCACAAUUUAAAUGUAUCUAAGGAGGUGUCAAUUUUAGGGUCAUAUAAAUGUAGGGUUGGCAUUUAGUUCCUCGCCUGGGCCCUGCUGGUAUCACUCUGCUUUCCCAAACUUGUCUGGAUGUUCCUCCCAGAUUGAGAAUGAGGUGACUAGAACAAACAAUAAUUAUCAUCAUUGUUACUAAUAUUAGAAUUCUUUUUCUUUUUUUAGAUGGAGUCUCACUCUGUUGCUCAGGCUGGAGUGCAGUGGUGCAAUCUCGGCUCACUGCAAGCUCCGCUUCCUGGGUUCAGCGAUUCUCCUGCCUCACCCUCCCGAGUAGCUGGGUUUACAGGCGUGCGCCACCAUGCCCAGCUAAUUUUUGUAUUUUUUGUAAAGACAGGGUUUCACCAUGUUGGUCAGGAUGGUCUCAAACUCCUGACCUUGUGAUCCGCCCACCUCAGCCUCCCAAAGUGCUGGGAUUACAAGCAUGAGCCACCAUGGCCAGCCUAGAGUUCUUUAAGAUAUGCGUUCCAUGGAUGCAUUACAGGAUGCCCACAGUGAUUCUUACCUGCAUGGCUACUUCUCAUGGCAGGACAAAGAAGGUAUAUGGCAUAGAAAAUAAACAGUUUCAAGUAGAUAGGGCUAGGAGUUUGGAGUCAGUGAGGAGCUCUGAAUGUACUCCAAAAAGUUGCAUCACUUAGUUCACUUUGUUUACUUUAUAUAGUUGAAAUUAGGGCUUCUGAAUUCCCAUGCACAUUUAUGUAAGAUAGUCUAUAAAUAAGGACAUCCCCCCAGAGGCUUGGAAAAUUUCUGUUUACUUCAUGUUUGUUUCCUUCAGCAUAAGGCUUGUAAAAGAAAGUUCCCGAGGUAAGCUAAUGAAUUGUGUACUUUCACAGAUAAAGUGUAAGGAAAGUUAUAGGUGUGGUACCUGACAGUAGGAAAAUUAACAGAGAUACAGAGUAUGAGGCAAGAUGAUAGUAAUUUACCAAGGGUACUCAGCAGAGAGGCGUGAAUGAGGACAGAGUCACACUGUUAGUUGACAUCACUUCUUUAUGGCUUGCCUGAAUAUGAGGGGAAGGUGGGAA